rnacentral:rRNA from 1 species
GACGAACGCUGGCGGCGUGCUUAACACAUGCAAGUCGAACGAUGAAGCCCAGCUUGCUGGGUGGAUUAGUGGCGAACGGGUGAGUAACACGUGAGUAACCUGCCCUUGACUCUGGGACAAGCGCUGGAAACGGCGUCUAAUACCGGAUACGACCUGCCCCGGCAUCGGGUGCGGGUGGAAAGGUUUUUGGUCAAGGAUGGACUCGCGGCCAAUCAGCAAGUUGGUGAGGUAAUGGCUCACCAAGGCGACGACGGGUAGCCGGCCUGCGAGGGGGACCGGCCACACUGGGACUGAGACACGGCCCAGACUCCUACGGGAGGCAGCAGUGGGGAAUAUUGCACAAUGGGCGAAAGCCUGAUGCAGCAACGCCGCGUGGGGGAUGACGGCCUUCGGGUUGUAAACCUCUUUUAGUAGGGAAGAAGGGCUUCGGCUUGACGGUACCUGCAGAAAAAGCACCGGCUAACUACGUGCCAGCAGCCGCCGUAA